GUCUCAGUAAAUAUUCCUUCAAAAAUCAUUCUCUAUAAUGGCUGCCAAAUUGUGUAUGGUAGCUAUCGUGAUUGCGUAUUUCAUUUUAUCGGGAACUUGCACAUUCUUACCAAUUUGUGGAAGUUCCGUACCCAGAAGACCCUCCGGAAAUGGUCAGGGUCCAACAAUAAAUGUUAAUCCAGUGAACAACGCUAAGUCGUCGAGCUCAUCAAAUCCGUCAACAAUACAGGAUGCAAGACAGGAUACAGGGUCACCAGGUUAUGGUAUACCACCAUACCAGGUUUGGUGAUACGGGUAAACAGCCCUUCAAAUAGUCAAAAAAGAUUAUGAAUAAAUAAGUUGACAUUAUUA